GCCCAGAUGGCGGAACCGGUAGACGCGCGUGACUCAAACUCACGUUUCGAAAGAAGUGCAGGUUCGAUUCCUGUUCUGGGCACAA
rnacentral:tRNA from 1 species